GUUGAAUGUCUUGUCUUCGUUUUAAAGUUUGAAUGGUGGCUCUAUGUCAAUGUAUGUGGAAGUAGAUACAGUUUAAAGAGGAGGAAGUUGAAUGAGAAUUUGAAGGGUCUCCCCAUUGAAAUACAUGGGAAAUUUUUGUUGAAAAAAGUUGAAUAAAAUUAAAAAUAUAAAUGUUAAAAAUGAGAAAAAUAGAAGCAGUCAUGUCCAAAAGAAUAGGAAUCUAAUGGUGUUUGAAUGGUUUUUUCUAAUUGAAUAAAAUUAAAAAUAUAAAUGUUAGAAAUGAGAAAAAUAGAAGCAGUCAUGUCCAAAAGAAUAGGAAUCUAACGGUGUUUGAAUGGUUUUUCUAAGUUGAACGGUUUUGAAGGAGAUAGAUUACAAAAAACGUACGGAAUACAGAAUAAUAAAUAAAAUAGAAUAAAGAUUAGAAGAACAAUACUGUGAAUGCUUUUCAAGCAUUCACACUAAUAAAGAUUAGAAGAACAAUACUGUGAAUGCUUUUCAAGCAUUCACACUAACUAGAAAGUGCAUUUUCUGAAGAAACUGCAGUGUGAAUGCUUGAAUCUGAAUGUAUGCACUGAAAUGAAUUAAUUGCUGAAUUUUGAGUUAAAAAUAUUGAAUGAGAUUAAAAAAAAAACAAAAAAAAAAACGAAUUUAACCUGAAAACAAAGGUGCUGAACUGCUAAAAGCUGAAGGUUACACAGAAGAAGGAGUUGGAAAAAAACUGAAAAUGUUUUAAAUGUAAAUUAGAAAACCCUAAGAAAUGAGAAAAGAACAUUCAGAGUCAGAAAACAUCUGAAUGAAUAUUAAAAGGUCAUAUUCUUUGAAUCACUGAAUGACUCAAAUGUGAUCCCUCCACUUUGAUCCACACAGUUUAAAAAGUUUAAAUGCCUGAGCUUUGAAAGAUACGGUGUUGGAAAGAGAACAAUAAUGGCGACAAUUUGAGGGUAAAAUGAUGGCUGUAACACUGUGGACACAGCAGCAGUUGAAAGAGAAGUGUUUAAGAUGAAUCUUGGUACAGUGGCAGGCAGAGCUCGUUAAGCAGGCAGGUGUGAGCCUGGUUGCUAUAGUGACCGCACCCAAUGGCUCCAUACACACGUACACAGACAUGCGCCUCACUUUUGCUGCUUAAAAUGAACAGAAAAGUCAGGCCGAAACAAAUCGUUCCCAAAUGAAAAGUAAAAGUCGUAUUGACAAAAUUCUUUCACCGUGAGCGACAGCAGCUUCUAGUCUACUGAAUUCUCAGUUUUCAUGCCUGUGGAGUUUAUUAUAUGGACGUGGUGACAGUGGAAAGACACCAUGCUCUUCUGAUUUUCAAACGAACCUUCUGAGCCAUUUUAACAUUAGAGUCUAUGGAAGAGUUGGAGGGAGGAGGCUGUGCAUUGGUGACAUUUAUGAAAGAACCAUAACACCUAGUACAAUAGUAAACACAUUGGAUGAAAGAGGACAGCGAUGGC
ensembl:lncRNA